rnacentral:rRNA from 1 species
UAGUGGCGGACGGGUGAGUAACGCGUUGGGAAUCUGCCCCCAGGAGGGGGAUAACGGUUGGAAACGACCGCUAAUACCCCAUAUGCCGAUAGGUGAAAUGAAUUUCGCCUGAGGAUGAGCCCGCGUCUGAUUAGCUAGUUGGUAAGGUAAAGGCUUACCAAGGCUUCGAUCAGUAGCUGGUCUGAGAGGAUGAUCAGCCACACUGGGACUGAGACACGGCCCAGACUCCUACGGGAGGCAGCAGUGGGGAAUUUUCCGCAAUGGGCGAAAGCCUGACGGAGCAACGCCGCGUGAGGGACGAAGGCCUCUGGGCUGUAAACCUCUUUUCUCAAGGAAGAAGAUAUGACGGUACUUGAGGAAUAAGCCACGGCUAAUUCCGUGCCAGCAGCCGCGGUAAUACGGGAGUGGCAAGCGUUAUCCGGAAUUAUUGGGCGUAAAGCGUCCGCAGGCGGCCUUUCAAGUCUGCUGUUAAAGCGUGGAGCUUAACUCCAUUAUGGCGGUGGAAACUGAUAGGCUUGAGUAUGGUAGGGGCAGAGGGAAUUCCCGGUGUAGCGGUGAGAUGCGUAGAUAUCGGGAAGAACACCAGUGGCGAAGGCGCUCUGCUGGGCCAUUACUGACGCUCAUGGACGAAAGCCAGG